rnacentral:rRNA from 1 species
CGGCAACAGCUCAAAUUUGAAAUCUGGCUCCCUUGGGCGCCCGAGUUGUAAUUUGCAGAGGGUGCUUUGGCGUCGGCAGCGGCCUAAGUUCCUUGGAACAGGGCGUCACAGAGGGUGAGAACCCCGUACGUGGCCGCCGGCCUUCGCCGUGUAAAGCCCCUUCGAC